UUUACUCUAAAGACCUUAUUAUUGAAACUGCAAACAUGUAAUAUACUAACACCUGAGCCCUCUUAAUUACACUCAUUGCCACCUCACUAAAAGCUGUCCACAGUACUAGAAUUAUUGUCUUUGCAUUCUUAGGACAACCUAGCUUCACAAUCCUAUUCAUCAUCAAUGAAAAUCAUCCCCCUUCUAAUCAACUCAAUUAAAUGUUUAGCAGUCAGUAGUAUUCCUGCCCGAUCUCUUAUCUCCAGCAACAUUACUGUCAUAUCUAUUCCCCAGAUAUGCCCUUAUACCUAAAAUUCACAGCUCUUGUCAUAACUCAUCUAGAAUUUACAGAGGCAAUAGAACUUAACCUUAUAACAAAUAAUCUCAAAUUUGAGUC
rnacentral:lncRNA from 10 species